rnacentral:pre_miRNA from 1 species
AUGCUACUCUCUCCGUUCGGAAUUAGUUGUCUCGGAUAUGGAUAUAUCUAGAACUAAAAUAUGUCUAGAUAUAUCCAUUUCUGCGACAAGUAAUUCCGAACGGAGGGAGUAAUAG